GAGAGAGAGAGAGAGAGAGAGAGAGAGAGAGAGUGUGUGUGUGUUCUCACAUUUCUUACUUUGUUGGGUCCGGUCACUCGGAGCACACCAACGGUGUGGGCCCAACUACGUUGUGGGGUCCAAAAUGCCGGACCCCACAACGUUUUUUUCAUUUUAACAUGCUCAGGAUACUCCCCUGAUAUGCCUAAUGUGUUUUUUUACUUGGCCCACAACGUAGCAAAAACUGGGUACGAGUGUGUGGGACCUGGGUUCUCGAGCGCCCCCUAGGUAGAUUUGGACCUGUCCAAUGGUCCCGGAAUGUGUGUAGGCUCACACACACUCUUGUAAUUUAAAUAAAGUUUUAUUGAAUAAUACGAUGUCAGGUGGUUAUUACGAGAUUUGCUGCUGUGAGAGAAAGGAAUUAUGGAUCUUCAUCACGAGGUUUCACAGACAAAGGACCUGCUGUUAUGAGUAAGAGACCCAUAAUGUUCAAAAAGAAGAUCAGAACACGGCAACAUCAUACAUACUGUCAA